GUUUGUUUGUUUUUUUUUUCCUUUUUUUUGGUGAAUUCCAGAAUUCAGAGACCGAAGGUUUCGUGGCCCAUAACACUAUAUAUCUGAUGGGAACGGUCGCAAUUCGAGGCUCCACAAUUGACAGACGUUUCGCAUCCUUCCGAUAGUAUGGUGGUUGGUCGGGUUGCGGUUAGCUGAUGGGAGCGAUCCAGAGAGAAGAGAGUGUUUUUCUCUCCCCAUGAUCACUUUCCACCGGAUACCUCACCGGCGUACGAAUCACCAUUGCCAUCGGCUGAUAUCUGCUUUUCAUGUAUUAUGCCGUCGGAUAGCGCUUUAGAUCUCUUUUUGCCACCUACACUGUCACCGCUCUGCUGUAGAAUGAUGGAACGUACAUGGAGAGGGCAUAAUAGACGAGGUGCAUUUGGGUAAUGGCUGGUGGGCUAAUACUUUAUGAUGGACGGAGAUGCAAUAGGACGAUCUGCAGCGGAGCCUAACUGAAAGGACCGAUGCGGUCAGGUGUGGCUUCGUUCUUGGUUGUUUACCAAUGACGAAUGGUGUUGAGAUUCGCAACAAGGUGGGAAGCAGAAAUUUAUGUGUAGAAAGUUCGGAAUUCACUCUCCGAUAACUUCUCCUUUUGUUUUCUUUGAAUUGAUAGUACUUUUACCAGAGUACACGUUUGAAUUCGUUGUACAGCCCACGGUCCGUCCGUUUUAAUGCCAACGAAUUAAUAGAAAGGCCGAAAGCUUAUCAUCGGCAGGAGUCGUCGUAGGGUUGUCGCUCUUCUCCGCCAAUCUUAUCUAUAUUAUAUACUGAGCUCUUAUAUUGCGGCUGUUAUUUACGCUAGUAGGUGUUAGUACGUAAAAGUUGAUCGCCCCCCCAAUACGUUCCUAUGCCAAUCUCUUUACUCCGUUAUGCACGAUUAAACUAUG
rnacentral:sRNA from 1 species